rnacentral:rRNA from 1 species
UACAGAGGGUGCGAGCGUUGUUCGGAAUUAUUGGGCGUAAAGGGCGCGUAGGCGGCGCCACAAGUCACCUGUGAAAACUCUGGGCUCAACCCAGAGCCUGCAGGCGAAACUGUGGUGCUGGAGUAUGGGAGAGGUGCGUGGAAUUCCCGGUGUAGCGGUGAAAAUGCGUAGAUAUCAGGAGGAACACCAAUGGCGAAGGCAGCUCGCUGGGACGGUACUGACGCUGAGACGCGAAAAGCGUGGGGGAGCAAAACAGG